UACGUAGGGCGCAAGCGUUGUCCGGAAUUAUUGGGCGUAAAGAGCUCGUAGGCGGUUUGUCGCGUCUGCUGUGAAAACCUAAGGCUCAACCCUGAGCUUGCAGUGGGUACGGGCAGACUAGAGUGCGGUAGGGGGAGACUGGAAUUCCUGGUGUAGCGGUGAAAUGCGCAGAUAUCAGGAGGAACACCAGUGGCGAAGGCGGCUCACUGGCCCGAUACUGACGCUGGAGGCACGGAAAGCGUGG
rnacentral:rRNA from 1 species